rnacentral:miRNA from 1 species
UCUUGUCAAGUGUAUCUAGUGUG